GUGGGGAAUAUUGGACAAUGGGGGGAACCCUGAUCCAGCCAUGCCGCGUGUGUGAAGAAGGCCUUUUGGUUGUAAAGCACUUUAAGCGAGGAGGAGGCUACCGAGAUUAAUACUCUUGGAUAGUGGACGUUACUCGCAGAAUAAGCACCGGCUAACUCUGUGCCAGCAGCCGCGGUAAUACAGAGGGUGCAAGCGUUAAUCGGAUUUACUGGGCGUAAAGCGCGCGUAGGUGGCCAAUUAAGUAAAAUGUGAAAUCCCCGAGCUUAACUUGGGAAUUGCAUUCGAUACUGGUUGGCUAGAGUAUGGGAGAGGAUGGUAGAAUUCCAGGUGUAGCGGUGAAAUGCGUAGAGAUCUGGAGGAAUACCGAUGGCGAAGGCAGCCAUCUGGCCUAAUACUGACACUGAGGUGCGAAAGCAUGGGGAGCAAACAGGAUUAGAUACCCCUGUAGUCC
rnacentral:rRNA from 1 species